rnacentral:rRNA from 1 species
UCAAGCUACUAAGGGCAUACGGUGGAUGCCUUGGCACUAAGAGCCGAUGAAGGACGCGGUAAGCUGCGAAAAGCCACGGGGAACUGCAAGCAAGUCUUGAUCCGUGGAUGUCCGAAUGGGGAAACCCACCAUCCGUCAUGGGAUGGUAUCCUACGGGAGGGGAACCCGGUGAACUGAAACAUCUAAGUAGCCGGAGGAAGAGAAAUCAAACGAGAUGCCCACAGUAGCGGCGAGCGAAGAGGGCAGAGCCUAAACCAGUCAUCUUCGGAUGGUUGGGGUUACGGACCUGCAUCAACCGAGUCCUACCUAGUCGAAUUACCUGGAAAGGUAAGCCAGAGAGCGUAAGAGCCGCGUAGGUGAAAGGAAGGACGAGGGGGCAGGGAUCCAGAGUACCACGAAGCACGAGGAAUUUUGUGGGAAGUCGGGGGGACCACCCUCCAAGGCUAAACACUUCUUAGUGACCGAUAGCGCAUAGUACCGUGAGGGAAAGGUGAAAAGAACCGCGGGAGCGGAGUGAAAGAGAACCUGAAACCGUAUGUCUACAAGCAGUCGGAGCGCAAGCGACGGCGUGCCUAUUGAAGAAUGAGCCAACGAGUUACGGGCACCAGCGAGGUUAAGCAGGAAAUGCGGAGCCGGAGCGAAAGCGAGUCUAAACAGGGCGAAUAGUUGGUGUUCGUAGACCCGAAACUGUAGUGAUCUACCCAUGAUCAGGUUGAAGCGCAGGUAAAAAUGCGUGGAGGACCGAACCGGUGAGCGUUGAAAAGCUUUCGGAUGAAUCGUGGGUAGCGGUGAAAUUCCAAUCGAACGCAGAGAUAGCUGGUUCUCCUCGAAAUAGCUUUAGGGCUAGCCUCAAGCAGUAAGCAUAGGCGGUAGAGCACUGAUCGGGAUAGGGUCCGUAAAGGAUACCGAACCCUGUCAAACUACGAAUGGUUAUGCUGCAGAGCUUGGGAGUCAGACUACGAGAGAUAAGUCCCGUUGUCAAAAGGGAAACAGCCCAGACCGUCAGCUAAGGUCCCCAAUGCCAUACUAAGUGGAAAAGGAUGUGGGGUCUCAUAAACAACCAGGAUGUUGGCUCAGAAGCAGCCACCAUUUAAAGAGUGCGUAAUAGCUCACUGGUCGAGAGGCCCUGCGCCGAAGAUUCCCGGGGCUAAAGUAUGGAACCGAAGCUACGGAUGCGGUACUUGUACCGCGUGGUAGAGGAGCGUUCCCAUUGGGUUGAAGUCGUCCUGGAAGGGACGGUGGACUGGUGGGAAGUGAGAAUGUUGGCAUGAGUAGCGAAAAGAUAGGUGAGAAUCCUAUCCACCGAAAGCAUAAGGAUUCCUGAGCAACGAUCGUCGUCUCAGGGUAAGUCGGGACCUAAUCCGAGGCAUGGAGCGUAGGAGAUGGACAACUGGUUGAUAUUCCAGUACCGGCAGCAAUCGUUUGAACGAUGGAGUGACGCAGGAAGGCAGGUCCGCGCGAGAAUGGUAGAUCGCGUACAAGCGUGCAGGCUGGUGCACAGGCAAAUCCGUGUACUGAGGCUGAGGCGUGAUGUGGAGGGAACUUGUUCCCGAAGGGAUUGAGCCUACGCUGCCGAGAAAAGCUUCUAGUGAGAAAGCUGCCGCCCGUACCGUAAACCGACACAGGUAUGCGGGGAGAGAAUCCUAAGGUGCGCGGGAGAACCCUCGUUAAGGAACUCGGCAAAAUGUACCCGUAACUUCGGGAUAAGGGUAGCCACAGUGGUGAAGGGACUUGCUCCUGGAGCCUAGUGUGGUCGCAGAGAAGAGGCCCAAGCGACUGUUAACCAGAAACACAGGUGCCUGCGAAAGAGAAAUCUGAUGUAUAGGUGCUGACACCUGCCCAGUGCUGGAAGGUUAAAGAAGGAUGUCCGGGUUCGACCCAAAGCAUUUGACUGAAGCCCCAGUGAACGGCGGCCGUAACUAUAACGGUCCUAAGGUAGCGAAAUUCCUUGUCGGGUAAG